GUGGCAGACGGGUGAGUAACGCGUGGGAACCUACCCAGUGGUACGGAAUAACAGUUGGAAACGGCUGCUAAUACCGUAUACGCCCUUCGGGGGAAAGAUUUAUCGCCAUUGGAGGGGCCCGCGUUGGAUUAGCUUGUUGGUGAGGUAACGGCUCACCAAGGCGACGAUCCAUAGCUGGUCUGAGAGGAUGAUCAGCCACACUGGAACUUAGACACGGUCCAGACUCCUACGGGAGGCAGCAGUGGGGAAUAUUGCACAAUGGGCGCAAGCCUGAUGCAGCCAUGCCGCGUGAGUGAAGAAGGCCUCAGGGUUGUAAAGCUCUUUCGGCGGGGACGAUAAUGACGGUACCCGCAGAAGAAGCCCCGGCUAACUCCGUGCCAGCAGCCGCGGUAAUACGGAGGGGGCUAGCGUUGUUCGGAAUUACUGGGCGUAAAGCGCGCGUAGGCGGAUCUUUAAGUCAGGGGUGAAAUCCCGGGGCUCAACCUCGGAACUGCCUUUGAUACUGAAGAUCUCGAGUCCGGAAGAGGUGAGUGGAAUUCCCAGUGUAGAGGU
rnacentral:rRNA from 1 species